GCCGCCCGGGGGCUGGCCGCCGGGCGGCGGGUAACCGCCACCGGGGGGUGGGUAACCACCGGCCGGCGGGUAGCCGCCGCCGGGCGGGG
rnacentral:tRNA from 1 species